UCCCUAGGUUUUAAGGCUUGCAUGAGUUCCAUAGGUAAGUACCCUCCCCACUGAAGUUUGGUUGGUUCAACCUGUCCUAGAAUAGUAACCGGGUUCUAGAAGGAUCUCAGAUCAUCGACCUUCCUUUAGGUCCACUUCAGUGCAACAUCAAGUGGUUGACCGAAGCUUUCCUAAAGUCCAAUCUCAAAGAGUGUAGUAUCGAGUAUCAACCAACCUCAGUCGGAACCGAAGUCAGUCAUCUCACUACUUUCUAAUGGCUAGGAUGAGUCAAUUAGG
rnacentral:lncRNA from 1 species